CAAGAAUGAGAGGCAGGUAAGGAAACACUUCUCACACUGCAAGUGUAUCAUUACAACACCCAGGGAUCUUGUUGAAAUGCAGACUCUGAUUCCUUAGGUCUGGGUGGGACUUGAGAUUCCUCAUUUCUUAUAAGUUCCCUGCUGAUGUCAAUUUGACUAGUCCUUGGGCCACACUAAGUGUAGCAAGGAGAAUCACGCAUCACAAUGCCAAGAUUCUCCCCACAAAAUUGUGGCCCUUCCUUCUGUCCCUAACUUUAUGGAAACAGUAACUGGAACCUUCAUCUCUCCUGACAAUGGGGCAAGGGAGACAACGUCUGCUUCUGGGGCUAUCGUAGGAUGAUAUGAGAGGAGCAGGUCAUGACUAUGCCUGGCACUGAACCUAGGACUCAGAGCAGGUUGUGAAUGUCACUCACUGUCCUUCCUUAUUUCUUGAGCCUGCAGAUGUUAAGGAUGCAGCAAGACUGGAGCAAAGGGCUGGAAGAAGAAUAAGGACUGGAGUAAGAGAGCCAUGAGUGCAAGAAAGGCCCUACCAGCUAUUCUGGGGAACAUAUACAAUAGUCCCUUCUUAUCCACGGUUUCGCUUUCCACAGUUAACUGUGGUCCAAAAAUAUUAAAUAGAACAUUCCAGAAAUAAACAAUUUGUAAGUUUUA
rnacentral:lncRNA from 1 species